CCCAGGCCAAUAUAUUUUCAUCAACUUAUUUCAAAGAUUUGAAAGUGAAGGGAUACUCAAUUUAUGGAAAGACCCAUUUUUUAAAGAAAUGAUGACUCCCACCUGCCUACAACCAUCACCAGUUUGUCUACUGUACUGAUGAACUAGCUUCAUAGAAAAUCUUCUGGUCUCACACAGUCAAGCUUUCAGAUGAUUCUACUUUGCAAUCUCAUUUGAGCCAGAAUGAGAUUUGAAGCCAGAACUAUUUAGGUGUGUCUCCUGAAGACAGCAGAAGGUUGGAUUCUAUUUCCUGAUCUGCAUCUUUUAAUUGAACUUGGCUAUCCUGGACAGAUAACACCAACAUCAAGAGAAAGAAGAGCAAGCAUUAACAAAUGCACUUCAUCAAAUUAAAAAGCUUAUGCAACAAAAGAAACUACCACUAAAAUGAGUUUGUACCCUACUGAACAGCAAAAGAUAGCCACACAUGAAAUAUUUAGCAAGGAGUUAAUAUCCAUGAUCUACAAAAAACACAUACAGCUCAACAACAGUAACAACAAAUACAAAUAACCCACGAAAAAUGGGCAAAUGAGUUAGAUACUCCAAAGAAAACAUACAGAUGAAAAUAAACAAAUAAAUGAAUAAAACUCAUCGAUACUUAAA